rnacentral:rRNA from 1 species
UACGGGGGGAGCAAGCGUUGUUCGGAUUUACUGGGCGUAAAGGGCGCGUAGGCGGCCACCGCAAGUCAAUUGUGAAAUCUCCGGGCUUAACUCGGAAAGGUCAACUGAUACUGCGGGGCUAGAGUGCGGAAGGGGCAACUGGAAUUCUCGGUGUAGCGGUGAAACUGCGUAGAUAUCGAGAGGAACACCAGUGGCGAAGGCGAGUCCCUGGACAACACCUGACACUGAGGCACGAAAGCCGGGGGAGCAAACAGG